GACGAACGCUGGCGGCGUGCCUAAUACAUGCAAGUCGAACGCAGUGGGGACGGGUGAGUAACACGUGGGUAACCUCCCAUCAGAGGGGAUAACACUUGGAAACUGGUGCUAAACCGAUACUGAUGGAUGAACCCGCGGGGCAUUAGCUAGAUGGUGGGGUAACGGCUCACCAAGUCCACGAUGCAUACCCGACCUGAGAGGAUGAUCGGCCACACUGGAACUGAGACACGGCCCAGACUCCUACGGGAGGCAGCAGUAGGGAAUCUUCGGCAAUGGACGAAAGUCUGACCCAGCAACGCCGCGUGAGUGAAGAAGGUUUUCGGAUCGUAAAACUCUGUUAUUGGAGAAGCGGUACCUAACCAGAAAGCCACGGCUAACUACGUGCCAGCAGCCGCGGUAAUAC
rnacentral:rRNA from 1 species